UACGGGGGGAGCAAGCGUUGUUCGGAUUUACUGGGCGUAAAGGGCGCGUAGGCGGUCGUGACAAGUCACUUGUGAAAUCUCCGGGCUUAACUCGGUAGCGGCCAAGUGAUACUGUCGGACUAGAGUGCGGAAGGGGCAACUGGAAUUCUCGGUGUAGCGGUGAAAUGCGUAGAUAUCGAGAGGAACACCUGCGGCGAAGGCGGGUUGCUGGGCCGACACUGACGCUGAGGCGCGAAAGGCCAGGGGAGCGAACGGG
rnacentral:rRNA from 1 species